rnacentral:rRNA from 1 species
UAUCUCUGUAGAGUCUGCAUAUCAAUAAGCGGAGGAAAAGAAACUAACUAGGAUUCCCUCAGUAACUGACGAGUGAAGCGGGAAGAGCUCAAAUUUGAAAUCUUCAAGGUUUUACCUUGACGAAUUGUAGUUUAAAGAAGUGUUUUCUGUUGGUGUUUUGGUAAAAGUUCUUUGGAAUAGGACAUCAUAGAGGGUGAGAAUCCCGUAUUUGACCAUUAUUUCCAGCUUUGUGAUACACUUUCAAAGAGUCGGAUUGUUUGGGAAUGCAGUCCAAAAUGGGUGGUAAAUUUCAUCUAAAGCUAAAUAUUGGCGAGAGACCGAUAGCGAACAAGUACCGUGAGGGAAAGAUGAAAAGAACUUUGAAAAGAGAGUUAAACAGUACGUGAAAUUGUCAAAAGGGAAGCGUUUGACACCAGUGUUGUUUUCUCGAAAAUCAAUUAAAAAUGGCGGGAUUUUGUGUUGUAUUGACUUUAUCAGCUUUCUGCACUUUUUUCCUGUCUUUUUAAUGCACUUUUCGUUUAACAGGUCAACAUCAAUUUCUUUUGUUGUAAAAGGGUCAUUGGAAGGUGGCUUUCUUUUCGGAGAAAGUGUUUAUAGCCUUUGGCCUCUGCAAUCGGAGAGAUUGAGGUCUGCAGCGUAGAUCCUUCGGGGUUAGAUACAUUUGUGCUAAGUUAUAGCCUUUCAUGGACAACUUGUUGACUAUGAUCAGUCAUGUAGCUUACUCGCUUAUGCUAUUUUACCUACGCUUAGGAUGUUGAGUCAUCACACAUCUCU